AGGGUAUUGCUUAUAAUAGUCCUUGAGGUGCGUCCUCAAGGUUGGAAGACGCUGGACAUUAUAUAUAGUGGGUGUCUUUGAUGAGAGUCUUCAAGCAAGAGUCUUCCUGGAGAAUAUGGAAGACGCUGAAAAGUGAGAGUCCAGAUUAGAGUCCUGGGUAAUGUAAUGCUGAGUUGGCAGACAAGAAGCUCCAAGAAGCUUCGCCUCAUAAGCACCGGCCUAAGAGGUUUACAACAUGAAGAUCCAUUCAUCUUUAUUACAAAAACUAUUCACUCACGGACUCACUGUUGUUUACAACUCAUGAAUUCUUACCGCCAGCUCACAGUAUAAUCAUCGUCGACGAGGUACCUUUGUCGGCCGUAGGUGCGUCGCCACUAACCACUGCCGCCGCCGCCGGUAGUUGUUUUCGAUUGUUGAUUACAGUGAUGUUUGAAAUCUGCCAAGCUAGAGUGCUACUUCUUCAAAGAUAGGUCCUAUGAAGAUGCUCAAUGCAUGGUUUGCUAGAGUAUCUACUUGUGAACUUUUUAUAAUAAUGAAACACAUUGCAAAACUGCCUACUCUUUUGGAA